GAUGAACGCUGGCGGCGUGCCUAAUACAUGCAAGUCGAGCGAACAGACGAGGAGCUUGCUCCUUUGACGUUAGCGGCGGACGGGUGAGUAACACGUGGGUAACCUACCUAUAAGACUGGGAUAACUUCGGGAAACCGGAGCUAAUACCGGAUAAUAUUUCGAACCGCAUGGUUCGAUAGUGAAAGAUGGCUUUGCUAUCACUUAUAGAUGGACCUGCGCCGUAUUAGCUAGUUGGUAAGGUAACGGCUUACCAAGGCAACGAUACGUAGCCGACCUGAGAGGGUGAUCGGCCACACUGGAACUGCGACACGGUCCAGACUCCUACGGGAGGCAGCAGUAGGGAAUCUUCCGCAAUGGGCGAAAGCCUGACGGAGCAACGCCGCGUGAGUGAUGAAGGUCUUCGGAUCGUAAAACUCUGUUAUUAGGGAAGAACAAACGUGUAAGUAACUGUGCACGUCUUGACGGUACCUAAUCAGAAAGCCACGGCUAACUACGUG
rnacentral:rRNA from 1 species